AACCUGGUGGUAGUGACGAAUUUCAAAGUUUGUUCGAACUUAUUGGAUUGUUCGGGCGGGUAAUGAGGUUCCAGGAAAUAGCUCCACCGUAUAGACCGUACCCGAAACCGACACAGGUGGGAUGGUAGAGUAUACCAAGGCGCUUGAGAGAAGGAUGUUGAAGGAACUCGGCAAAUUACUUGCGUAACUUCGGGAUAAGCAAGCCCAAUGCGAAGGCAACUUUGUAUUGGGGGCACAACCCAGGGGGUAGCGACUGUUUAUCAAAAACACAGGGCUCUGCUAAGUCGUAAGACGAAGUAUAGGGUCUGACGCCUGCCCGGUGCCGGAAGAUUAAAAGGAGGAGUUAACGCUCUGAAUUGAAGUCCCGGUAAACGGCGGCCGUAACAAUAACGGUCCUAAGGUAGCGAAAUUCCUUGUCGGGUAAGUUCCGACCUGCACGAAUGGCGUAACGACUUCCCCGCUGUCUCCAACAUUCACUCAGCGAAAUUGAAUUCCCCGUGAAGAUGCGGGGUGCCCGUGGUUAGACGGAAAGACCCCAUGAACCUUUACUGUAGCUUCGCAAUGGCAUUAGGAAAUGCAUGUGUAGAAUAGGUGGGAGACUUUGAAGCCCGGCGCUAGCCGCGGUGGAGUCUUCAGUGAAAUACCACCCUUGCCUUUUCUGGUGUCUAACCGUGGCCCGUUAUCCGGGUCCGAGACAUUGCGUGGUGGGCAGUUUGACUGGGGCGGUCGCCUCCCAAAGAGUAACGGAGGCGCGCGAUGGUAAGCUCAGGUUGGUCGGAAAUCAACCAGCGAGUGCAAUGGCAGAAGCUUGCCUGACUGUGAGACUGACAAGUCGAGCAGAGUCGAAAGACGGUCAUAGUGAUCCGGUGGUUCUGAAUGGAAGGGCCAUCGCUCAACGGAUAAAAGGUACUCUGGGGAUAACAGGCUGAUAGCGCCCAAGCGUCCAUAGCGACGGCGCUGUUUGGCACCUCGAUGUCGACUCAUCACAUCCUGGGGCUGGAGCAGGUCCCAAGGGUAUGGCUGUUCGCCAUUUAAAGUGGUACGUGAGUUGGGUUCAGAACGUCGUGAGACAGUUUGGUCCCUAUCUGCCAUGGGUGUAGGAUUAUUGAGAGGAGCUGCCCUUAGUACGAGAGGACCGGGGUGGACGUACCUCUGGUGUACCGGUUAUAGCGCCAGCUGUAGCGCCGGGUAGCUAUGUACGGACGGGAUAACCGCUGAAAGCAUCUAAGCGGGAAGCCUCCCUCAAAACAAGUAAUCCCUAUCAGGGCCGUGGAAGACUACCACGUUGAUAGGCCAGGUGUGGAAGACCCGUAAGGGUUGAAGCUAACUGGUACUAAUUGCCCGAAAAAAAAAAAAUA
rnacentral:rRNA from 1 species